GUUGAAAUACCGGUUCACGUAUGAUUACCGAAGUGAAGCAACGUCGAGCCUGGUCAGUACCUAGAUGGGUGACCGAUAGGGAAUACUAGGUGAUGUAAG